rnacentral:rRNA from 1 species
CCUACGGGAGGCUCCAGUGAGGAAUAUUGGUCAAUGGACGAGAGUCUGAACCAGCCAAGUAGCGUGAAGGAUGACUGCCCUAUGGGUUGUAAACUUCUUUUAUAUGGGAGUAAAAUGUUCCACGUGUGGGAUUUUGUAUGUACCAUAUGAAUAAGGAUCGGCUAACUCCGUGCCAGCAGCCGCGGUAAUACGGAGGAUCCGAGCGUUAUCCGGAUUUAUUGGGUUUAAAGGGAGCGUAGGUGGAUUGUUAAGUCAGUUGUGAAAGUUUGGGGCUCAACCGUAAAAUUGCAGUUGAAACUGGCAGUCGUGAGUACAGUAGAGGUGGGCGGAAUUCGUGGUGUAGCGGUUAAAUGCUUAGAUAUCACGAAGAACACCGAUUGCGAAGGCAGUUCACUGGACUGCAACUGACACUGAGGCUCGAAAGUGUGGGGAUCAAACAGGAUUAGAUACCCUAGUAGUC